rnacentral:lncRNA from 1 species
AUGUUCAUACUAUUUUGGGAAGAUGAACAAUACUAUUUUGUUCUUUCGGUUUCUUCUCCUAUUUUGUUCUUAUUAUAUGUUUCUUUUCAACAUGCCUUUCAUCCAGUCCUGUUUUUAGCUCAACUAUGGGAAGUUGAAGGCUUGUUCAUCAGAUUGUUUUUAUGCUUAACUGAAGUCUUAAUUAUCUUUGAUUUGAGAUAUAGCUCUGAUUUAAGUUUCGAGUUUCAUGCAUUUUUAUUAUUAUUGUACAAUUCUUUAAUCAAAAUGUCAUUUGCUCUACAUCUGCAUAUGGGUGGUUCAGUCAUUAUUUCUAUAUCAGUUCUGUGUUUCAUGAAUAUAACGAUUGUAUACAAAUUUUUGUUUAUUUUUCAUUUUCUUAUGAAAGAAUCAGUAAUAUCAUUCUAUUAUUCAUUGAUGGUAUGCAGAUUCUAUAUUUUUGUUUUCACCAUUGGCCAUCCAUACACGGAAUAUCCGUUAGUGCACACUUUUAGUGCAGAUUAG